GGCUAGCGUUGCUCGGAAUUACUGGGCGUAAAGGGCGCGUAGGCGGAUAGUUUAGUCAGAGGUGAAAGCCCAGGGCUCAACCUUGGAAUUGCCUUUGAUACUGGCUAUCUUGAGUUCGGGAGAGGUGAGUGGAAUGCCGAGUGUAGAGGUGAAAUUCGUAGAUAUUCGGCGGAACACCAGUGGCGAAGGCGACUCACUGGCCCGAUACUGACGCUGAGGCGCGAAAGCGUGGGGAGCAAACAGG
rnacentral:rRNA from 1 species